rfam:Runella slithyformis DSM 19594, complete genome.
AAGGCGAAACCCGAAAAGCCUCCGCGUCGGCGGGCCGAAAAGAGAGUAGGGA